rnacentral:rRNA from 1 species
UACGUAGGGACCAAGCGUUGUUCGGAUUUACUGGGCGUAAAGGGCGCGUAGGCGGCAAUUCAAGUCAUCUGUGAAAUCUCCGGGCUUAACUCGGAACGGUCAGAUGAUACUGCUUUGCUAGAGUGCGGAAGGGGCAAUCGGAAUUCUUGGUGUAGCGGUGAAAUGCGUAGAUAUCAAGAGGAACACCUGCGGCGAAGGCGGGUUGCUGGGCCGACACUGACGCUGAAGCGCGAAAGCCAGGGGAGCGAACGGG